rnacentral:rRNA from 1 species
GGCGGGGUGCUAUACAUGCAAGUCGAGCGGACAGAAGGGAGCUUGCUCCCGGAUGUUAGCGGCGGACGGGUGAGUAACACGUGGGUAACCUGCCUGUAAGACUGGGAUAACUCCGGGAAACCGGAGCUAAUACCGGAUAGUUCCUUGAACCGCAUGGUUCAAGGAUGAAAGACGGUUUCGGCUGUCACUUACAGAUGGACCCGCGGCGCAUUAGCUAGUUGGUGAGGUAACGGCUCACCAAGGCGACGAUGCGUAGCCGACCUGAGAGGGUGAUCGGCCACACUGGGACUGAGACACGGCCCAGACUCCUACGGGAGGCAGCAGUAGGGAAUCUUCCGCAAUGGACGAAAGUCUGACGGAGCAACGCCGCGUGAGUGAUGAAGGUUUUCGGAUCGUAAAGCUCUGUUGUUAGGGAAGAACAAGUGCAAGAGUAACUGCUUGCACCUUGACGGUACCUAACCAGAAAGCCACGGCUAACUACGUGCCAGCAGCCGCGGUAAUACGUAGGUGGCAAGCGUUGUCCGGAAUUAUUGGGCGUAAAGGGCUCGCAGGCGGUUUCUUAAGUCUGAUGUGAAAGCCCCCGGCUCAACCGGGGAGGGUCAUUGGAAACUGGGAAACUUGAGUGCAGAAGAGGAGAGUGGAAUUCCACGUGUAGCGGUGAAAUGCGUAGAGAUGUGGAGGAACACCAGUGGCGAAGGCGACUCUCUGGUCUGUAACUGACGCUGAGGAGCGAAAGCGUGGGGAGCGAACAGGAUUAGAUACCCUGG